AUUCAAGUCUUACUAGUUAGUAGCUAUCAAUCAAUCAGGUUAAGUGGUGACUGCCAAGGAUACCAAUUUUUUCUUCGUCUAUCAGAUUCAAUCUAAACCUUUUUGUUUCCAAGGUUGAGGUUGUCCUAUCCAAUCAAUGGCCUUAUUGGAGGGGAAAGUGCAGAUUUGUGGCCUAGGAUUGCAACUUGCAAGUGCAGGCUGUGCAGCCAUCCAUUUUCGUUUGCAAUGAUCGCAUUUCAUUUCUUGUCGACUUGUCGUAGACUGACUUAUAUGGUAGUGGAAAUGUUGUUUUUACUUUUUUAGCAAACU